AGAAAAUAUCAUUCUCAAGGAGAUUCAAGUUUUUAACGAACCGGCAAUUUUAUUGUUGUCAGCGGUCGGUGGGACUAGGUUCACCCUCAUUAAAGCAGACCGGGUGGUCAUAGUGUUAUCCGACUGGAAUCCAGCUUCCGACUAGAUAGCUGACAAAGCUUAUAGGAUUGGACAAAAGAAAGAUGUUGUGAUUUACCGGUUGAUCACGUGUGGGACAGUUGAAGAAUACAUGUAUAAACAAUAGUCACCAAGGAUGCUUUUAAAUUACCCAAGCUGGUUUUCACCACUCAAAAACAUAUCGAUUGUUUAGAAAGCCCC